rnacentral:rRNA from 1 species
UACGGGGGGGGGCAAGCGUUUGUUCGGAAUUACUGGGCGUAAAGGGCUCGUAGGCGGCCAACUAAGUCAGACGUGAAAUCCCCUCGGCUUAACCGGGGAACUGCGUCUGAUACUGGAUGGCUCGAGAUUGGGAGAGGGAUGCGGAAUUCCAGGUGUAGCGGUGAAAUGCGUAGAUAUCUGGAGGAACACCGGUGGCGAAGGCGGCAUCCUGGACCAACACUGACGCUGAGGAGCGAAAGCCAGGGGAGCAAACGGG